UUGCCCCACCUUUUUCCUGUGUCUGGUGGAGUUUCCUAAGUAGCCAUUUUAUUCUGCUGACUCACCCUCUGACUCCUGGCCUUAUUCCAUCCUGGCUCAGGGUCCAUGGUGUAGUCAUAGCACCUAAUGAGGUAGCGUUUGUUUUAGUGAGAUCAGGAUGACUCUUCAUUCAAAAGCUUUUGGGCCAGUGCGUGCGUGAAUGGCAUUGGAAUGGGCAGCAGUUUCACUGUAGGGAGGUGGGUAUGAUGCCUGCAGCUUCCUCAGGCUGGGUGGAAGUUGUUGACCCUUGGUUGAUGGUAUUAAAAUGUGACUCACCAAUCUCCUUCAUCAUCCCAGGCCCAAGAGGUAGAACUGGAACCUGGAAUCAGGGACAAGACUGAGAACUCUCCUUCCACUGGCUGUGGUGGGAGUAUAAUUCACAGAUAACUGUCCUGAUCCAUCACCCAUGAAAUGUUCACAGAUAUAACCAAAUACAGGAGACAUUUGUAUGAAAUAAAGUAUCAUGAGGCUGGGAGCCAGAGAGCUUUGUUUUCCACUCACUGUGUUCAUGUCACCUUGCUGGUUUGUGAUUUCAUCUGUAAAAUGAGAGGUUUGGAGCAGAAGACUUGGCAGGCUCCUCAGGCAUGACUGUUCUAGGGUUUGAAUCUGGCAAGGUAGAUGGUGUCGGCAAACUGUCACCCUACAGCCACUUCAGGAGAACUUUCCAAAUCACAGUUACUUCUGUGGAAAUGGCAGGUUUGCUAUGAAAGGAAUUUUUGCCCUGAGGGUCAGUGUUGACAUCUACUUUCUAAACCAUUUCUAGUUAUGAGAGCCCCUAGAUCCAUGUUACUUGAGAGCAGAUUAUAAAGUAUUAAUUGACUGGGAUCUAAGACUUCCAUAUACCCUAUUUUGAAAUAUUGGAUACUGGCCACAAUCUGCUUGUGUAACAAAUAUCUAUUGAGCCUCUGUGGUGUACACGCCAGCACUGUGAUGCAAUAAGCAGUGAAGGGUUGCUCAGAGUCAGCCUUCAGUGGUAAUGGACUCAAGAUAAAUGAGUUCAGCCCAAGGUAGUAAGUGGUCCACCACAGGAGGAGGUUACGGGUGCUACAGGGCUAACUUCCUGGUUAUUAUGGAGUGAACAGAGCAUGCAGCACUGGGAUACAGCAUGUCCCGAGCUGGGGCGCUGGGUGAGGAUUGGUUGGCAGAGGAGACUGGAGAAGUAGCAGGUUAACAAAGGGCCUUGUUCAUCAUAGCAAAUGUCAAGCCCAUGCCCUACCAUGCAGUAGAUGAUUCUUCAUCCAGGACAUCCUGAUCAACCUCAAGUGCAGAGGACUUCACCUUUAGGAUCUGUUCACCUUCUGUUUCUGACACAUCCAGUGAUUCUUCAGGUUCUACAGACAAUGUUCUAAAAGCUAUCAAAUGGACCCGGUGGAUCAUCCAAACAAAGAAAUUCUCUCACUGCAAGGCUUUUCAAAGGAAAAAAAAAUUAUCUGAAGUACAAGUAAGUUUGCAGAAGACAGCAAAAAGCAAAAGUUACUUUGAAGCAAUACAGUGUUUUAAACAAGUUGGUUAUGUGCUUUCAUACAAGUAACUAAAUAUAAAUAUAAAACUAUAGAAGAUGCAAAGAUCUUAAGGUGUUUUCUAAGAUCUUAGAACAUAAAUAUCACAAAUUUAUUGUUACAUACAAACUAUUGGACAUAAAACAUACUUCACAAUAAUGGUUCAAGAGACCAACAUAGUGAAUAGCCUCUUUAUGAUUUUUCAAAGAAAUACCAGUCUGAAGUAGUCUAACAGUCAUUAUCCUUUUAUGAAUAAAUGCAAUUUCUAAUUUAUACCUCACUUGUUUUUGUUUGAGUAGAUGCUUCUAAAGUGACUGAAAAGCAUUUAUUCUUAAACAAGUUAAAGACUGACCUUGCUAUCAUGUUUAUUAUAUUAAUUUCCUUAUUUUCCCCAGAUAGUUCGAGAGAAAAAAUUCUAACCAUCCUAUCUCUAAAUGACCACAAAUUUUAAAAUUAUUAUUAAAAAAUGAUAUUGUUAUGCUUAUACUUUGCUAUUAUCAGAGAAACAGGUUAAGGAGGUAGAUAACCAAACUUCCUUAUAAUAAAAAUGCCUCCCUGCCUUUCUAAAAAGCAAUUCUGGACUGAGAGACAAUUCUAUGUACACAUCAAAAUAUAAAUGUGGAUCCUUAUUUUAGAUUUGCAAAAUAAAAUCUUUACAAAUUUCCUUUCACAAAGGUUUUUUUUUUUU